CCUGCCCGGUGACUAACGUUCAACGGCCGCGGUAUCCUAACCGUGCAAAGGUAGCAUAAUCACUUGCCCAUUAAUUGUGGGCUAGAAUGAAAGGAUUAACGAAAUAAAAACUGUCUCUAUAAGUAACUUAAAAAUUAAUCUCUAACUGAAGACUGUUAGAUUAUAUCGAAGGACAAGAAGACCCUAUAGAGCUUUAUCCAAUUAAAAACUAAAAAUUUUUUUUACGGAUUUGGUUGGGGCGACCAGGGAAGUAUUCAAUCAUCCCUAUCAAAAAGAUACAUAAAUCUUGCUACUGACCCUUAACAAAGAUCACAAGACCAAGCUACCUUAGGGAUAACAGGCUAAUCUCGCUAAAGAGUCCUUAUCAAUAGCGGGGUUUGGCACCUCGAUGUUGGCUUAGGGAAUCUAUGUGGCGCAAAAGUCACAUAAAGAUGGUUUGUUCAACCAAUAAUCCCUACAUGAGCUGAGUUCAGACCGGCGUGAGCCAGGUUAGUUUCUAUCCUCGAUAUUAUAACCUAUUUAUAGUACGAAAGGACCUAAAUAAGGAUAAUAAUUAUACUCAAAGAAUAAAUAUAAUAUAACUUAAAAAGAUCAACACAUAAAAUA
rnacentral:rRNA from 1 species